ACCCGCUGAAUUUAAGCAUAUCAAUAAGCGGAGGAAAAGAAACCAACAGGGAUUGCCCUAGUAACGGCGAGUGAAGCGGCAAAAGCCCAAAUUUGAAAUCCUCUUUUGAGGAGUUGUAAUUUGGAGAUGGAGUGCUGGACUCAGCUCUGUGGAAGUUGGCUGGAAAGCCGCGCCUUGGAGGGUGAUAGCCCCGUGCCACGGAGGUCCUGUGUCUGUGUAGUACUCUUUCUACGAGUCGCGUUGUUUGGGAAUGCAGCGCUAAGUGGGUGGUAAAUUCCAUCUAAGGCUAAAUAUUGGCGAGAGACCGAUAGCGAACAAGUACUGUAAAGGAAAGAUGAAAAGCACUUUGAAAAGAGAGUGAAAUAGCACGUGAAAUCGUUGAAGUGGAAGGGCUUAAAGCUACACACCUUCUUCGGAAGGGGCUAACAUCAGUUUUGCCGGAUGGAUAAAUGGUAAAGAAAGUGGCAUUUUCGAAUGUGUUAUAGCUUUAUCAAAUACGUCCCGGCGGGAUUGAGGACCGCGCUUUAUGCGAGGAUGUUGGCGUAAUGGUUUUAAGCCACCCGUCUUGAAACACGGACCAAGGAG
rnacentral:rRNA from 1 species